rnacentral:rRNA from 1 species
CCUACGGGCGGCAGCAGUCGAGAAUCAUUCACAAUGGGGGAAACCCUGAUGGAGCGACGCCGCGUGGGGGAAUGCAGGUCUUCGGAUUGUAAGCCCCUGUCAUGUGGGAGCAAAUUAAAAAGAUAGUACCACAAGAGGAAGAGACGGCUAACUCUGUGCCAGCAGCCGCGGUAAUACAGAGGUCUCACGCUGUGUUCGGAAUCACUGGGCGUAAGGCGUGCGUAGGCUGUUUCGUAAGUCGUGUGUGAAAGGCCCGGGCUCAACCCGCGGACGGCACAUGAUACUGCGAGACUAGAGGGAUGGAGAGGGAAGCGGAAGUCGCGGUGUAGCAGUGAAAUGCGUAGAGAUCGAGAGGAACACCGGUGGCGAAGGCGGGUUCCUGGACAUUAACUGACGCUGAGGCACGAAGGCCAGGGGAGCGAAAGGGAUUAGAUACCCCUGUAGUC